UCACACGGAAAUUGGCUGCGGGAGC
rnacentral:sRNA from 1 species